GACGAACGCUGGCGGCGUGCUUAACACAUGCAAGUCGAACGGAAAGGCGCUGCUUUUGUGGGGUGCUUGAGUGGCGAACGGGUGAGUAACACGUGAGUAACCUGCACUUGACUUUGGGAUAACUUCAGGAAACUGGGGCUAUUACCGGAUAGGAGCUCCUGCUGCAUGGUGGUGGUUGGAAAGAUUCGGCGGUUGGGGAUGGUCUCGCGGCUUAUCAGCUGGUUGGUGGGGUAGUGGCUGACCAAGGUUUUGACGGGUAGCCGGCCUGAGAGGGUGACCGGCCACAUUGGGACUGCGAUACGGCCCAGACUCCUACGGGAGGCAGCGGUGGGGAAUAUUGCACAGUGGGCGGAAGCCUGAUGCAGCAACGCCGCGUGCGGGAUGACCGCCUUCGGGUUGUAAACCGCUUUCGCCUGUGACGAAGCGUGAGUGACGGUAAUGGGUAAAGAAGCACCGGCUAACUACGUG
rnacentral:rRNA from 1 species